CCUACGGGAGGCAGCAGUGAGGAAUAUUGGUCAAUGGGCGCGAGCCUGAACCAGCCAAGUAGCGUGAAGGAUGACUGCCCUACGGGUUGUAAACUUCUUUUAUAAAGGAAUAAAGUGAGGCACGUGUGCCUUUUUGUCUGUACUUUAUGAAUAAGGAUCGGCUAACUCCGUGCCAUCAGCCGCGGUAAUACGGAGGAUCCGAGCGUUAUCCGGAUUUAUUGGGUUUAAAGGGAGCGUAGAUGGGUUGUUAAGUCAGUUGUGAAAGUUUGCGGCUCAACCGUAAAAUUGCAAUUGAUACUGGCAGUCUUGAGUACAGUUGAGGUAGGCGGAAUUCGUGGUGUAGCGGUGAAAUGCUUAGAUAUCACGAAGAACGCCGAUUGCGAAGGCAGCUUACUAAACUGCCACUGACAUUGAUGCUCGAAAGUGUGGGUAUCAAACAGGAUUAGAUACCCGGGUAGUC
rnacentral:rRNA from 1 species